GCUCAGAGGGGCCAUGAUUCGGAGGGUUCUGCCGCACGGCUUGGGCCGGGGCCUCUUGACCCGGAAGCCAGGCACGCGCAGAGGAGGCUUUUCUCUGGGUAAAGUUGAGGACGACAGAGGGCAUUGUGGUUCUGGGUUGUCCCCAACCUCCGACUGUGUGUCCUUCAGGACCCGAAACCAUGGCCCACACUGGCAGGACAGCGGGUCGGCUUGGGGAAGGGGUAUUCACAGGCCUCCACUGGGCUCUCAGUAGGUGGGAUUUGUCAGCAGUUCUCAUUGCCUGAGAACAUCCAGCUCUCCCUCUUUUCAGCCAGCUUUCUACGGAAUAUCAAUGAGCUUCUCUCUGCAUACAGGAGUACCUGGCCGUAGUCGAUGCCCCUCCCUUGGACCUCCGGUUCAGCCCCUCAGGCUACCUCUUGCUGGCUUCAGAAAAGGAUGCUGCAGCCAUGGAGAGCAACGUGAAAGUGCAGAGGCAGGUGGGAGCCAAAAUUUCUCUGAUGUCUCCUGAUCAGCUUCGGAACAAGUUUCCCUGGAUAAACACAGAGGGAGUGGCUUUGGCAUCUUACGGUGAGGCUUGCUUGCAGAGGGGACAGCUUUUUUCCUGAAGAUGGAGACUAAGGGGUGCUACACGUUGGGAGUCUCGGUACCCCACAGCCAAGCUGAAGGAGGAACACUUCCCUCCUGUGUCACAGGAACGGCCCUGGGCCAUGCUAGUUCUCUGGCCUUCAGCAGGCUUUGUCUGUGUGGUUGAGUUGGUCAAGAUGACCUUCCCCAGCUUACAAGCCCUAGAGAGGGCUUGGGGGACACAGGAAAUACAAUCCAAGAGCAGAAGUCCUCAUCCCUCUUUGUGAGUUCUCUUUUUCUUAUCACAGGGAUGGAGGACGAAGGUUGGUUU
rnacentral:sRNA from 1 species